rnacentral:tRNA from 1 species
GUUUUUAUAGUUUAAAUAAAACCUUGGUCUUGUAAAUCAAAAAUAAAUUAUAUUUUAAAAACU